UAACACGUAGGGGGCGAGCGUUGUCCGGAUUUAUUGGGCGUAAAGAGCUCGUAGGCGGCUCGGUAAGUCAACUGUGAAAGCUCCGGGCUCAACUCGGAGAGGCCAGUUGAUACUGCUGUGGCUAGAGUCCGGUAGGGGAGCGUGGAAUUCCUGGUGUAGCGGUGAAAUGCGCAGAUAUCAGGAGGAACACCAGCGGCGAAGGCGGCGCUCUGGGCCGGAACUGACGCUGAGGAGCGAAAGCGUGGGUAGCAAACAGGAUUAGAUACCCUGGUAGUCCACGCCGUAAACGUUGGGCACUAGGUGUGGGUCUCAACCAACGAGAUCCGUGCCGUAGCUAACGCACUAAGUGCCCCGCCUGGGGAGUACGGCCGCAAGGCUA
rnacentral:rRNA from 1 species